rnacentral:rRNA from 1 species
GAUGAACGCUGACAGAAUGCUUAACACAUGCAAGUCGAUGGGGAAGUGGUGCUUGCACCAUGGCAACCAUGGCGGACGGGUGAGUAACGCGUAAGGGACUUACCUGCAGGACUGGGAUAACAGGGGGAAACACCUGACAAGACCGGAUAAUGUCAUGGAGCUGCAUGGCUUUAUGAUGAAAGGAGACGCCUGCGGAGAGCCUUGCGUCCUAUUAGCUAGUUGGUGAGGUAAUGGCUCACCAAGGCGAAGAUAGGUAGCCGGCCUGAGAGGGUGGACGGCCACAAGGGGACUGAGAUACGGCCCUUACUCCUACGGGAGGCAGCAGUGGGGAAUAUUGGACAAUGGGGGCAACCCUGAUCCAGCAAUUCUGUGUGCACGAAGAAGGUUUUCGGAUUGUAAAGUGCUUUCAGCAGGGAAGAAGUAAGUGACGGUACCUGCAGAAGAAGCGACGGCUAAAUACGUG